rnacentral:rRNA from 1 species
UUUUUGGCGAGUUUGAUCCUGGCUCAGGAUGAACGCUGGCGGCGUGCUUUACCAAUGUGAGUCGAACGGUACGGGUGAAGCUUCGGCUUCGCCACGACCGUGGCGUCCGGGUGCGUAACACGUAGCUAACCUACCGGCGGGUGGGGAAUAACCCCGGGAAACCGGGGACAAUACCGCAUGUGGUCGCGGGGUGAUGCCCGUGGACGAAAGCUGUGUCGGGGGAACCCGAUAUGGCGCCUGCUGAGGGGGCUGCGGCCGAUUAGCUAGUUGGUGGGGUAAUGGCCCACCAAGGCGAUGAUCGGUAGCGGGUCUGAGAGGAUGAUCCGCCACACGGGGACUGAGAUAUGGUCCCGAGCCCUACGGGGUUUAGCAUGGGGGAAUCUUGCGCAAUGGGCGAAAGCCUGACGCAGCAACGCCGCGUGGGGGAUGAAGGCCUUCGGGUCGUAAACCCCUUUUCUGGGGGACGCAACUGACGGUACCCCAGGAAUAAGCCUCGGCUAACUACGUGCCAGCAGCCGCGGUAAUACGUAGGAGGCGAGCGUUAUCCGGAAUUACUGGGCGUAGAGCGCUCGUAGGCGGCUCGGCAGGUGCCCUGUGAAAGCCCCCGGCUUACCCGGGGAGGGUCGGAGCAAACCACCGAGCUCGAGGCAGGCAGAGGGCCGCGGAACGUCCGGGGGAGUGGUGGAAUGCGUAGAUCCCGGACGGAACACCAGAGGCGAAGGCGGCGGUCUGGGUCUGACCUGACGCUGAGGAGCGACAGCGUGGGGAGCGAACAGGAUUAGAUACCCUGGUAGUCCACGCCGUAAACGAUGGACGCUAGGUGUGUGGAGGGCUCAACCCCUCUGUGCGCCGGAGCUAACGCGGUAAGCGUCCCGCCUGGGGACUACGGUCGCAAGACUAAAA